UGCGAAGGGGGCUAGCGUUGCUCGGAAUCACUGGGCGUAAAGCGCACGUAGGCGGAUUGUUAAGUCAGGGGUGAAAUCCUGGAGCUCAACUCCAGAACUGCCUUUGAUACUGGCGAUCUCGAGUCCGGGAGAGGUGAGUGGAACUGCGAGUGUAGAGGUGAAAUUCGUAGAUAUUCGCAAGAACACCAGUGGCGAAGGCGGCUCACUGGCCCGGUACUGACGCUGAGGUGCGAAAGCGUGGGGAGCAAACAGG
rnacentral:rRNA from 1 species